rnacentral:rRNA from 1 species
CAGUAGCCGCGGUAAUACAGAGGGUGCGAGCGUUAAUCGGAUUUACUGGGCGUAAAGCGUGUGUAGGUUGUUGUUCAAGUCAGUUGUGAAAUCCCCGGGCUCAACCUGGGAACUGCAUUGGUGACUGCAACGCUGGAGUGCGGCAGAGGGGGAUGGAAUUCCGCGUGUAGCAGUGAAAUGCGUAGAUAUGCGGAGGAACACCGAUGGCGAAGGCAAUCCCCUGGGCCUGCACUGACGCUCAUGCACGAAAGCGUGGGGAGCAAACAGGAUUAGAGACCCCAGUAGUCCCUGUCUCUUAUAA